rnacentral:rRNA from 1 species
GUCUACUGCCAUACCACUGGGAAUGCACCCAGUCUCAUCUGAUCUCAGAAGCUAAGGGUCAGGCCUGGUUAGUAGCUGGAUGGAAGAAUAACACUGUCAUGGGAAAAAGCUGAUGGUAUCAAUUGGCA